rnacentral:rRNA from 1 species
UACGUAGGGACCGAGCGUUAAUCGGAAUUACUGGGCGUAAAGCGUGCGCAGGCGGUUUUGUAAGCCAGAUGUGAAAGCCCCGGGCUCAACCUGGGAAUGGCAUUUGGGACUGCAAGGCUUGAGUGCGGCAGAGGAGACUGGAAUUCCUGGUGUAGCAGUGAAAUGCGUAGAUAUCUGGAGGAACACCGGUGGCGAAGGCGGCAUCCUGGACCGGUAUUGACGCUGAGGCGCGAAAGCCAGGGGAGCAAACGGG